UACGUAGGGGGCAAGCGUUGUUCGGAAUUACUGGGCGUAAAGGGCGCGUAGGCGGCAUGGCAAGUCGGGAGUGAAAGGCCUGGGCUCAACCGAGGAACUGCUUUCGAGACUGCCAAGCUAGAGUGCGGAAGGGGCAUCUGGAAUUCCCAGUGUAGCGGUGAAAUUCGUAGAUAUGGGGAGGAACACCGGUGGCGAAGGCGGGCACCUGGACGGAUACUGACGCUGAGACGCGAAAGCGUGGGUAGCAAACAGG
rnacentral:rRNA from 1 species